UAUCUUCUCUUAGACUUGUAGACUUCUAGUUGUAUUUGUUUGAUUGAUUGACUUAUGGUUCUAUCUUACGCUAAUUGAGUUCCAUUGUGAUGGGUUAUAAACCCGCACGAAAGUGAAGAGACUUCUACUGUUCUCCUUCUCCUACUUCUCCACGACACUUGUCUUUGUCCCUUGUUUCAAACAAGUUGUUUUUGCUUGCCUCGAUCUGCUCAUAACGAUAGUUAAACAACUGAAAGGAGGACCAAUCCGGUUUAGAAAAGCUAUUGGACAUCUUGGCAUCUUGCACCCUUGGUUCGAAAUUGCGGGUGGCGACAAGAAGCGAGGAGGUGGGAGCUUAGCGCCUAGCGCCAUGGCGGUACAAAGCGAGCGCUUUGUCUACCUGCAACAGAACAAGGCACAACUAAACGCCGCUUUUAGCGCUCUAUGGAUAUUGCAAAAGCGAGGAAAAAGCGAGAAAAGCUAGGGAUCUAUGUACCUCGCCUGGCAAGGGUGUCCCUAAGCGUUGAGGGCAUCGCCUUGGGCGCCUUAGCGCCAUGGCGACAAAAACUCUCGCUUUUUCGAACCAAGCUUGCACCUGAGCUUGGGAAUCUCGAACAUUUACAAUAUUUAGUGGAGUGAAAGUUGAAUUGAGUGUUAGAGACUUGGAGAGUGGAGCUUUGCUUUACAUGACUUAUUGGAAUUUUGAUUUUUACACUUCAUGAAUAAAAACAUGUAAACUUUGGUUUUUUUAAUUUCAUACUUUGAAUUUGAGGACAAAAAUGAAUAAAAGAGACUUUUUCAUUUA